rnacentral:rRNA from 1 species
AGUGAAGCGGCAACAGCUCAAAUUUGAAAUCUGGCCCCCCCCCGAGGGGGUCCGAGUUGUAAUUUGCAGAGGGUGUCUCGGGUGAACUAGUAGCCCAAGUUCCUUGGAACAGGGCGUCAUAGAGGGUGAGAAUCCCGUACAGGGCUAUUUGGCGAUCCCAUGUGAGACCCCUUCGACGAGUCGAGUUGUUUGGGAAUGCAGCUCAAAAUGGGUGGUAAAUUUCAUCUAAAGCUAAAUAUUGGCCAGAGACCGAUAGCGCACAAGUAGAGUGAUCGAAAGAUGAAAAGCACUUUGAAAAGAGAGUUAAAAAGUAUGUGAAAUUGUUGAAAGGGAAGCGCUUGCAACCAGACUCGUCUGCGGGUGUUCAGCCGUUCUCUUGGGACGGUGUAUUCUCCCGCGGCCGGGCCAGCAUCGGUUCCAGCAGUCGGAUAAAAGCUACAGGAAUGUGGCAUUCUUAGGAAUGUGUUUAUAGCCUGGGGUGAAAUACGGCUAGUGGGGACCGAGGACCGCGCUUCUAUGCUAGGAUGCUGGCGUAAUGGUUGCCAGCGACCCGUCUUGAAACACGGACCAAGGAGUCGACCAACUAUGCGAGUGUUUGGGUGUCAAACCCAUGCGCGCAAUGAAAGUGAACGGAGGUGGGAGCUUUCUUUUUUUGGGGGUGCACCAUCGACCGAUCCUGAUGUUUUCGGAUGGAUUUGAGUAUGAGCACAGCUGGUCGGACCCGAAAGAUGGUGAACUAUGCGUGAAUAGGGUGAAGCCAGAGGAAACUCUGGUGGAGGCUCGCAGCGGUUCUGACGUGCAAAUCGAUCGUCAAAUUUGCGCAUAGGGGCGAAAGACUAAUCGAACCAUCGGGUGUUGGAAUAGGUGGGUUAAGUGGAAGCCUUUAGGGGCUUUUCAGUCGGCCGGCAUUGAAAAAAGGUUGGCGGGCGACAUCGCUAAUGAUCAUGGACUUGCCUUCCGGGGAGGGUAAAAAGGAGAGGAAAACACCCUUGUAACCCCGGGGGUCAAGAAUAUGUAGCGGCUUGAAUACGCCGUCCACAGACCAAAUAGCGAUGGUUCCCGGCUACCCCCCCCGGGGAAAUUAAGAUAUGGCC